AGAGUUUGAUCCUGGCUCAGGACGAACGCUGGCGGCGCGCCUAACACAUGCAAGUCGAACGAGCGAGAGAGAGCUUGCUUUCUCAAGCGAGUGGCGAACGGGUGAGUAACGCGUGAGGAACCUGCCUCAAAGAGGGGGACAACAGUUGGAAACGACUGCUAAUACCGCAUAAGCCCACAGCUCGGCAUCGAGCAGAGGGAAAAGGAGCAAUCCGCUUUGAGAUGGCCUCGCGUCCGAUUAGCUGGUUGGUGAGGUAAUGGCCCACCAAGGCGACGAUCGGUAGCCGGACUGAGAGGUUGAACGGCCACAUUGGGACUGAGACACGGCCCAGACUCCUACGGGAGGCAGCAGUGGGGAAUACUGCACAAUGGGGGAAACCCUGAUGCAGCGACGCCGCGUGGAGGAAGAAGGUCUUCGGAUUGUAAACUCCUGUUGUUGAGGAAGAUAAUGACGGUACUCAACAAGGAAGUGACGGCUAACUACGUGCCAGCAGCCGCGGUAAAACGUAGGUCACAAGCGUUGUCCGGAAUUACUGGGUGUAAAGGGAGCGCAGGCGGGAAGACAAGUUGGAAGUGAAAUCUAUGGGCUCAACCCAUAAACUGCUUUCAAAACUGUUUUUCUUGAGUAGUGCAGAGUAGGCGGAAUUCCCGGUGUAGCGGUGGAAUGCGUAGAUAUCGGGAGGAACACCAGUGGCGAAGCGGCCUACUGGGCACCAACUGACGCUGAGGCUCGAAAGUGUGGGUACCAACAGGAUUAGAUACCCUGGUAGUCCACACCGUAAACGAUGAUUACUAGGUGUUGGAGGAUUGACCCCUUCAGUGCCGCAGUUAACACAAUAAGUAAUCCACCUGGGGAGUACGACCGCAAGGUUGAAACUCAAAGGAAUUGACGGGGGCCCGCACAAGCAGUGGAGUAUGUGGUUUAAUUCGACGCAACGCGAAGAACCUUACCAAGUCUUGACAUCCCUUGACGAUGCUGGAAACAGUAUUUCUCUUCGGAGCAAGGAAACAGGUGGUGCAUGGUUGUCGUCAGCUCGUGUCGUGAGAUGUUGGGUUAAGUCCCGCAACGAGCGCAACCCUUACUGUCAGUUACUACGCAAGAGGACUCUGGCAGGACUGCCGUUGACAAAACGGAGGAAGGUGGGGAUGACGUCAAAUCAUCAUGCCCUUUAUGACUUGGGCUACACACGUACUACAAUGGCGUUAAACAAAGAGAAGCAAGACCGCGAGGUGGAGCAAAACUCAGAAACAACGUCCCAGUUCGGACUGCAGGCUGCAACUCGCCUGCACGAAGUCGGAAUUGCUAGUAAUCGUGGAUCAGCAUGCCACGGUGAAUACGUUCCCGGGCGUGUACACACCGCCCGUC
rnacentral:rRNA from 1 species